GAAAAAAAAAAAAAAAAGAAAGAUACGUAUGUGUGUGGGUGCCAUGGGAGCCAUGGGUCAAGAAGAAAAUCAAUGGAAAGCUUCAAUACAUCGAUUUUAGGUAAUUGAUUAAAGAAAUUGAAGAACUUAUGAACAUCCUCUGUUGUGUAGAAGCCUGGUAUGACAUAGAUGGGAAACAACGAGUAAAAAGGAUGGCAUGGGCGACAACACUUCUAUGGGAAAAGGUAGUGACGCUUCACUCAAGUAGUAUGUUUUAUUAAAUAUAUUAAUACCUUCGUGAAAAAUUUAUACGGUGUGUGGUAAGAAUUGUAAAGGAGAGUUAAUGUUAGUACGAAGUUGUGUUAUAAUGAUAAUCAUCGUCGGUGAUAUAAAUAUCCGAGUUUAUUAGUAUGAUUAAAUCAUAAACAAGGUGAUGGGAGUAAGAUACAGAUAUUGGGAGUAAUAAGCAGUGUAGACCUACCACAAGACCGUUAAUAUUGAGUAUUGAGUAUAAGGUAUGUGAGCUUUAUAUAUAUUUAGUUUGUCUAAUAUAUGAAGUAAAGGAAUUGGAACUAAUAGGGACAAGAUUAUUGGAAACAAGGUUGAUGGAUUAAACCAAGGGGUGGUAAGUAUCGAGUAUGAGAUUUUUAUUAAUAUUAAAAGGGGAUUGGGAUAAUAAUUAUUUGAUUACAGGUUUGUGAGUCGCGUACUUAGCAAGUACACGGGGAAAGCUGUUAUGCAAGCUUAAACAUAAGGAAGUUUGAAUCCCGUAUUUGGGAGUUAAGGAGCCUUGUUGUCACGCUUUAUAAAUUGCGUUAGUUAAAUACAGAUGUUUUAUUAACAAAUCCAAACAUUGUUUUGACUAACUUAUGGUGUUGUACAUCUUAGGUGAAUUACAAGUGAAGAGUAAAUGGAUUUAGUGAUUCUAAUAUGAAAAAUGGAUUUCAAGAACAGAUGGGACACUGAGCACCUAGGGAUAAAUGAAAUGAGAUCCGAGUUAAUAAGCUGGAACUGAAUGACAAAAGAACGAUGGGAGUGACCUACGAGUUACUCAAGUUGAAUGUGGUUAAGAAUUUGGCUGAUCUAAGGCGAGAGUGAUCAAGUCUUGGGAGCGGGUCAAUAAGAGGAGGAUUGGGUUGUGAUUUGCCCAACAAUUAUAUGUUUUGGUUAUUGAACCUAGCGAGUCUAGUCUUUUGUACUCUAGUGUAUUUUUUUUAGCUUAUUGCUAGUUCGUCAAUGUUUAAAAAGUUAUGUUGGUUAUGAAUCAUUGGUUAUUAACACAGGUUUUGGUUUUCGUAAGGGUUGUUCGUUAAACGAACGGGUCAUGCAGAAAUUUUAUAAAAAUCCUUGCACGUCGUGUAUGUAGGUUUGUAUCAACUGGUGAUUUAAGUAUUUGAAAGGGAUGUUAUAUUGAGUAUAGUUUUCUUUUUUUU